GUUCUUUAUUAAAAGGAGAACCUUAAUAUCCCGUAGUUUCCAUUAGGACCCUGCUGCCACGGGAGGGAUGGACAAUAUAUGUCAUGCAAGUUCUUUUCCCUAAGCACGUAUGACUACAUACGGAAUACAUGCCUACAUUAGAUUGACGAACGGGAGCUAGCCACAUAUCUCUCCGUGUUACAGCUAUUACAUGAUGAAACACAUCCUUCACACUCAUCCAUCACCGAUCCACUGCCUACGAGUCUUUUACUUCUGGUUCUCGCUACGUUACUUUGCCUAGGCUUGUCCCUUGCUACAAGAGGGAUUGGGCUACUUUGUUGCUGCUGUCACUUUGCUGCUGCUACUACUAUUCCUUGCUACUC
rnacentral:lncRNA from 1 species